rnacentral:rRNA from 1 species
UGCAGUCGAGGGGUAACAGGGUAGCUUGCUAUUGCUGACGACCGGCGCACGGGUGCGUAACGCGUAUAGAAUCUGCCUUAUACUAAAGAAUAGCCCAGAGAAAUUUGGAUUAAUGCUUUAUGGUAUUUUGUUUCGGCAUCGGGAUAAAAUUAAAGGUUACGGUAUAAGAUGACUAUGCGUCCUAUUAGCUAGAUGGUAAGGUAACGGCUUACCAUGGCAACGAUAGGUAGGGGCCCUGAGAGGGGGAUCCCCCACACUGGUACUGAGACACGGCCAGACUCCUACGGGAGGCAGCAGUGAGGAAUAUUGGACAAUGGAGGCAACUCUGAUCCAGCCAUGCCGCGUGAAGGAUGACUGCCCUAUGGGUUGUAAACUUCUUUUAUACAGGAAGAAACACUGCUACGAGUAGCAGCUUGACGGUACUGUAAGAAUAAGGACCGGCUAACUCCGUGCCAGCAGCCGCGGUAAUACGGAGGGUCCAAGCGUUAUCCGGAAUCAUUGGGUUUAAAGGGUCCGUA